GUGCUCACUUUGGCCACACCUACACUAAAACUGGAAUGAUGCAGCGAAAGUUAGCAUGGCCCUGCACAAGGAUGACACACAAAUCUGUGGAGUGUUCCGUAUUUGU